GGGCCGAUGCCGGCGGCGGGGCGGGGCCCAGGUGGAGCCCCUGGACCGAACCUCGCCACACCCGCCUGACAGUGGAUGCCGCUCUCCCUGGCCCGUCCUGUCUUCUGUCUCUCCCAGCUCUCCGCUGAGCCUCCGCGCUCUCACCCCCUGUCUGUCUGUGAUAUGUAACGACAGCUCAGGUGGCUGGUGUGUGACUGGUGAUGCUCCGGAGAAGGUCAAAUACAAGGUAGAUUCUUUACCAUCUGAGCCACCACAGAAGCUCUCAGCUGUGACGUAAAUCCACCAGAUGCAAAGAAGCCAACUAUACCUGCCUUGGCAUCACUUCAUGGAAUUUCUCAUCUUUUGCCAUUUUGUAUAAUGCCAGCCCUGACCUUCAUGGCCCAGUCAACUUCACAGCCCAGAAAUGGACACAUUUGCAACAGUUUGGAAAACAGUGCCCUUGACUGAGAGCCCUCUGAGGACGGGGCCCUCUGUGACUGGCGCCGGGUAUGGCACACAGCAGCGUUCAUUGAAGGUUUGCGGAUUGUAGCAAACAAGGAGAGAGGCGGGGCAGGGCGUGGCGGUGGAGGUGUCUGAGAGUCUGUGAGGUGUUAUCGUAAUGAGAAUUAUAAAACUUGGAUGUCCCUUGUUGCCCAAGCUGCCAGAAAGUUCAAGCAAAAUCAAAAGCUUACCCCAGAGACUAACUUAACUCUCAUAGUUUUUUGCUUUUUAAUUUUAUUUACCUAUUUAUCUAUGUCAAUUUUUUGAGUUGCUUCAUGUUCU
ensembl:lncRNA